rnacentral:rRNA from 1 species
AGAGUUUGAUCCUGGCUCAGAUUGAACGCUGGCGGCAAGCCUAACACAUGCAAGUCGAACGGUAACACAAAAGGGUUUACUCUUUAGGUGACGAGUGGCGAACGGGUGAGUAAUAUCUGGGGAUCUGCCCGACGGAGGGGGAUAACCAUUGGAAACGAUGGCUAAUACCGCAUAAUGUUGAAAAACCAAAGUGGGGGACCUUUUUAUAAGGCCUCAUGCCAUCGGAUGAACCCAGAUGGGAUUAGCUAGUAGGUGGGGUAAUGGCUCACCUAGGCAACGAUCCUUAGCUGGUCUGAGAGGAUAACCAGCCACACUGGAACUGAGACACGGUCCAGACUCCUACGGGAGGCAGCAGUGGGGAAUAUUGCACAGUGGGCGAAAGCCUGAUGCAGCUAUGCCGCGUGUAUGAAGAAGGCCUUCGGGUUGUAAAGUACUUUCAGUAGGGAAGAAGGCAAUUUAGUUAAAACCUAUGUUGAUUGACGUUACCUACAGAAGAAGCACCGGCUAACUCCGUGCCAGCAGCCGCGGUAAUACGGAGGGUGCGAGCGUUAAUCGGAAUUACUGGGCGUAAAGAGCACGUAGGCGGUUUAUUAAGUCAGAUGUGAAAUCCCUAAGCUUAACUUAGGAACUGCAUUUGAAACUGAUAGACUUGAGUUUCAUAGAGGAGAGCAGAAUUCCAGGUGUAGCGGUGAAAUGCGUAGAGAUCUGGAGGAAUAUCAGUGGCGAAGGCGGCUCUCUGGAUGAAAACUGACGCUCAGGUGCGAAAGCGUGGGGAGCAAACAGGAUUAGAUACCCUGGUAGUCCACGCCGUAAACGAUGUCGACUUGAAAGUUGUGUCUUUAAGAUGUGGCCUUCGUAGCUAACGCGUUAAGUCGACCGCCUGGGGAGUACGACCGCAAGGUUAAAACUCAAAUGAAUUGACGGGGGCCCGCACAAGCGGUGGAGCAUGUGGUUUAAUUCGAUGCAACGCGAAAAACCUUACCUACCCUUGACAUCCAGCGAACUAAGUGAAAUACUUGGGUGCCUUCGGGAACGCUGAGAC